rnacentral:rRNA from 1 species
GAUGAACGCUGGCGGCGUGCCUAAUACAUGCAAGUCGAGCGAACAGACGAGGAGCUUGCUCCUCUGACGUUAGCGGCGGACGGGUGAGUAACACGUGGAUAACCUACCUAUAAGACUGGGAUAACUUCGGGAAACCGGAGCUAAUACCGGAUAAUAUAUUGAACCGCAUGGUUCAAUAGUGAAAGACGGUUUUGCUGUCACUUAUAGAUGGAUCUGCGCCGCAUUAGCUAGUUGGUAAGGUAACGGCUUACCAAGGCAACGAUGCGUAGCCGACCUGAGAAGGUGAUCGGCCACACUGGAACUGAGACACGGUCCAGACUCCUACGGGAGGCAGCAGUAGGGAAUCUUCCGCAAUGGGCGAAAGCCUGACGGAGCAACGCCGCGUGAGUGAUGAAGGUCUUCGGAUCGUAAAACUCUGUUAUUAGGGAAGAACAAAUGUGUAAGUAACUAUGCACGUCUUGACGGUACCUAAUCAGAAAGCCACGGCUAACUACGUG